AUUGAACGCUGGCGGCAUGCCUAACACAUGCAAGUCGAACGGCAGCACAGCCCGCAAGGGUGGGUGGCGAGUGGCGGACGGGUGAGGAAUACAUGGGAAUCUACCCUGUCGUGGGGGAUAACGUAGGGAAACUUACGCUAAUACCGCAUACGACCUCCGGGUGAAAGCGGCGGACCGCAAGGCGUCGCGCGACUGGAUGAGCCCAUGUCGGAUUAGCUAGUUGGCGGGGUAAAGGCCCACCAAGGCGACGAUCCGUAGCUGGUCUGAGAGGAUAAUCAGCCACACUGGAACUGAGACACGGUCCAGACUCCUACGGGAGGCAGCAGUGGUGAAUAUUGGACAAUGGGCGCAAGCCUGAUCCAGCAAUGCCGCGUGGGUGAAGAAGGCCUUCGGGUUGUAAAGCCCUUUUGUACGGGAAGAAAUCCUGUCGGUUAAUACCCGGCGGGGAUGACGGUACCGUAAGAAUAAGCACCGGCUAACUUCGUGCCAGCAGCCGCCGCAG
rnacentral:rRNA from 1 species